GGAGCCUGGCGGGCCCUGGGUUCUCUAAGAGGUUCUUCUAGAAACAGACCCCUCAGAUGCUUCCUCUCAAUUCAGGACCGAGCGCUCUGUAACUGGAGCAGCCUGGAGGCCAGCUCUGGGGCUGCACAGCCCAGCCAUGAGGAAAAGCCGGCCCAGCUGCCCGCGUGUGGCCUUGACACAGCCCCUGGCACCGUUCUGAUGGCAACUGGCAGUGAGUCUCAAGGCUCAGAGCACAG